GUCUACGGCCAUACCACCCUGAACAUGCCUGAUCUCAUCUGAUCUCAGAAGCUACAUAGGGUCGGGCCUGGUUAGUACUUGGAUGGGAGAAAAGAGGAAGCAGAAGCUC
rnacentral:rRNA from 1 species